rnacentral:tRNA from 1 species
ACCUGGCUGGCUCAGUCGGUAGAGAAUGUGACUCUUGAUCACAGGGUUGUAAGUUUGAACCCCACUUUGGGUG